rnacentral:lncRNA from 1 species
UCAUUCUUUCGUUAUUUUCUAUGUUUUCAGUUUAUUGAAUGGUUUUGUCUCUUUAAUUUUAUUCUGUACGACUACAGAUAUCAUCACUUCAUUAUUAUUUUUUUAAGUAUACCUACCCAGCAAAUUACCCUAUUACGCGUUCAGGUGUCACUAAUUUUUCCCUUUAAACUCUAGUUAACUAUUUAACUCAUACUUAGCAGAAGAAACUAGCCUAGCCAGCAUAGCUUAAUUUCUUCGAGGCAAGGCUAACAUUAACAUUAUAUGAUUUAGUAUUUAGAGAAUUAGACAGUCGUCAUA